rnacentral:rRNA from 1 species
AAAUUGAAGAGUUUGAUCAUGGCUCAGAUUGAACGCUGGCGGCAGGCCUAACACAUGCAAGUCGAGCGGUAGCACAGAGAGCUUGCUCUCGGGUGACGAGCGGCGGACGGGUGAGUAAUGUCUGGGAAACUGCCUGAUGGAGGGGGAUAACUACUGGAAACGGUAGCUAAUACCGCAUAAUGUCGCAAGACCAAAGUGGGGGACCUUCGGGCCUCAUGCCAUCAGAUGUGCCCAGAUGGGAUUAGCUAGUAGGUGGGGUAACGGCUCACCUAGGCGACGAUCCCUAGCUGGUCUGAGAGGAUGACCAGCCACACUGGAACUGAGACACGGUCCAGACUCCUACGGGAGGCAGCAGUGGGGAAUAUUGCACAAUGGGCGCAAGCCUGAUGCAGCCAUGCCGCGUGUGUGAAGAAGGCCUUCGGGUUGUAAAGCACUUUCAGCGGGGAGGAAGGCGGUAAGGUUAAUAACCUUAGCGAUUGACGUUACCCGCAGAAGAAGCACCGGCUAACUCCGUGCCAGCAGCCGCGGUAAUACGGAGGGUGCAAGCGUUAAUCGGAAUUACUGGGCGUAAAGCGCACGCAGGCGGUCUGUCAAGUCGGAUGUGAAAUCCCCGGGCUCAACCUGGGAACUGCAUUCGAAACUGGCAGGCUAGAGUCUUGUAGAGGGGGGUAGAAUUCCAGGUGUAGCGGUGAAAUGCGUAGAGAUCUGGAGGAAUACCGGUGGCGAAGGCGGCCCCCUGGACAAAGACUGACGCUCAGGUGCGAAAGCGUGGGGAGCAAACAGGAUUAGAUACCCUGGUAGUCCACGCCGUAAACGAUGUCGAUUUGGAGGUUGUGCCCUUGAGGCGUGGCUUCCGGAGCUAACGCGUUAAAUCGACCGCCUGGGGAGUACGGCCGCAAGGUUAAAACUCAAAUGAAUUGACGGGGGCCCGCACAAGCGGUGGAGCAUGUGGUUUAAUUCGAUGCAACGCGAAGAACCUUACCUGGUCUUGACAUCCACAGAACUUUCCAGAGAUGGAUUGGUGCCUUCGGGAACUGUGAGACAGGUGCUGCAUGGCUGUCGUCAGCUCGUGUUGUGAAAUGUUGGGUUAAGUCCCGCAACGAGCGCAACCCUUAUCCUUUGUUGCCAGCGGUUCGGCCGGGAACUCAAAGGAGACUGCCAGUGAUAAACUGGAGGAAGGUGGGGAUGACGUCAAGUCAUCAUGGCCCUUACGACCAGGGCUACACACGUGCUACAAUGGCAUAUACAAAGAGAAGCGACCUCGCGAGAGCAAGCGGACCUCAUAAAGUAUGUCGUAGUCCGGAUUGGAGUCUGCAACUCGACUCCAUGAAGUCGGAAUCGCUAGUAAUCGUAGAUCAGAAUGCUACGGUGAAUACGUUCCCGGGCCUUGUACACACCGCCCGUCACACCAUGGGAGUGGGUUGCAAAAGAAGUAGGUAGCUUAACCUUCGGGAGGGCGCUUACCACUUUGUGAUUCAUGACUGGGGUGAAGUCGUAACAAGGUAACCGUAGGGGAACCUGCGGUUGGAUCACCUCCUUACCUUAAAGAA